CCUACGGGGGGCAGCAGUGGGGGAUAUUGCACAAUGGGGGGAACCCUGAUGCAGCGACGCCGCGUGGGUGAAGAAGCGCCUCGGCGCGUAAAGCUCUGUCAGCAGGGAAGAAAAUGACGGUACCUGAAGAAGAAGCCCCGGCGAACUACGUGCCAGCAGCCGCGGUAAUACGUAGGGGGCAAGCGGUAUCCGGAUUUACUGGGUGUAAAGGGGGCGCAGACGGCGAUGCAAGCCAGGAGUGAAAGCCCGGGGCCCAACCCCGGGACUGCUCUUGGAACUGCGUGGCUAGAGUGCAGGAGGGGCAGGCGGAAUUCCUGGUGUAGCGGUGAAAUGCGUAGAUAUCAGGAGGAACACCGGUGGCGAAGGCGGCCUGCUGGACUGCAACUGACGUUGAGGCCCGAAAGCGUGGGGAGCAAACAGGAUUAGAUACCCGGGUAGUC
rnacentral:rRNA from 1 species